CCUACGGGCGGCAGCAGUGAGGAAUAUUGGUCAAUGGACGGAAGUCUGAACCAGCCAUGCCGCGUGCAGGAAGACGGCUCUAUGAGUUGUAAACUGCUUUUGUACAAGGGUAAACCUGAAUACGUGUAUUCAGCUGAAUGUACUGUAUGAAUAAGGAUCGGCUAACUCCGUGCCAGCAGCCGCGGUAAUACGGAGGAUCCAAGCGUUAUCCGGAUUUAUUGGGUUUAAAGGGUGCGUAGGCGGAUUGUUAAGUUAGUGGUGAAAGUUCCGGGCUUAACUCGGGAACUGCCGCUAAUACUGGUGAUCUAGAGUAUAGAUGCGGUAGGCGGAAUGUAUGGUGUAGCGGUGAAAUGCUUAGAGAUCAUACAGAACACCGAUUGCGAAGGCAGCUUACCAAUCUAUAUCUGACGUUGAGGCACGAAAGCGUGGGUAGCAAACAGGAUUAGAUACCCGGGUAGUC
rnacentral:rRNA from 1 species